rnacentral:misc_RNA from 1 species
AGUCUCUGCUGGCAUAGGGAGUUAGUAAAACUGUCUGUACUCUUCUAAGAGUCUUUUUUAGAUCUUGUGGAUGCCUGUGGUGCUUGUAUUCUGUGAUUCUUCACUGCCCAUUUUUAAUUACAUUCUAAAGCCACCCGCCAUUUUUAAUUGACUGGGCAGCCCACCCCCCUUUUAUACCCGUGCUCAUGCUCGGUGCUGUAGCAAUGAUCACGUAAGGUGGAGCAGUGGUUAUAUUCUGCACAUGCUCGUUUAAGCAAUAAGCAUCUAAGGCAUAUGCUACAUGUAUUUACCGUAUAGUGGUUUUUUCAAGGAUAAUGAAUUUUACGGAUUUUUCGAGUAUCAUGAAAUUAAUUUCUUGAAAAUCAAUUUAACAAGGCAAAAGAUUGUAGAAAAGUGGAAAUUUGCAAGAUUUAAUUCUUUGAACCUCCAGAACAAGUCAUUUGUGAAAAUUAUUAUCCUCAAAAUAAAGCCACUACAGUACAUUGCGGCUUCUAAAUUUUUUAAUAAAUGAUCCUUAUAUUUUAUGAAGGGAGGGAGUAACUAAGAAUUGAGAGAUGUUUCAGAUUUACGACUAGAAAUGUUGCCUUCAGUUUGCAAACUCAAUGACCUGUAAAUUAGGGCUGAAACAAAUAGUAUUUUUCACUAUUCACUAUUUGAAUAAUUGGCAUGCUAAACGAACAAAUAUUCGAAUAAUUGAACUAUUAUUGCUGAAUGAUUAUAAACUACUUUUUUGGUAUUAAACUUUUCAAAAUGAUCCCAAACAGGGCUUCUUAGAGAUUAAGAACCACUUUACCUGGCCACAGCAUCAGUAUUUAGCCAGUUGGUAAGUAAACAGGCUAAGAAAGCAGCCUGUGUAGGUGACAUGUGGUGGGCGUGGCCAUUAAUUGUUGGAAUAACCAUUAAUAAUUUUAUUAUUUGAAUAGUUCGAAUAGCAAAAAAAACUAUUCGAAUAUUGCUAUAACGAACGAAUAUUUGAAUAUCUCACUAUUCGUUUCAGCCCUAUUGUAAAUAUUGCAUCCACAUGCUUAGAUAAAUAGACCUUGAUUCUUGUUUUCAUUUUGUGCAGCUAGAGUGUAUUGUAUGUUAUAGAGUUGAUAGUAUAAAGGCUAGCUGCCAUACACUAUGAAAAUUUAUUUCAUGAAGCAACACUGUACAGGAGUCAAUGGAGCCUAAAACAUGCUACAGACUCCAUUGCUUCCUGUGUAAGGAUGUUUCAUGAAAUGGCUUUAAUGAGUGAUUGAGAGGUCCUUAAUUCUUCUCCGACUCGGAAUUAAACAACACAACUGGAAACAUGGAAAUGGUGAUCAUGUCAUUCAGUCGUCCGUAUAUCGUGCGCCAAUUUCCAUAUACCAAGAGAGGACGACGGUGUCUUUGAUGAGAUAAAUUUCUCUGAGAUAUACGGGCCAGCCUCUGAUAAGAUAGUACGUCAGUACAAGGACGAUGCCCUGGGUCUACCCACUCCUUAUAUACCGUCAAAGAGACCACGCUAUGAGUCAAAGGGAAGGAACUAUAGCUCACCUCGUCCUAAGCCAAGUCCUUAUGGGUAUGGAGCCUAUGGGUCUUCAUCUCGUUAUUAUCCACCUCCCAAUCGGGGUUACUAUGCUCCUCCUCCCCCACCUCAUUAUCGUAGUUAUUAUGCUCCUCCUCCUCCUCCUCCUGGUGCUGGUGGGUGGGGCCACAUGAGAGGGCGUUACGGUCACCCCCCACCACCGCCUCCUCCUAACCCUCGCUAUGGGGCACCACGCCCGUACUACAGUAACAGAGGCAGCGGUGGGUAUUAUAAUCGCUAUUGAAAAAACAACUAACUCUUUUUCCUCCCUAUCUUUUCUUUAUUUUGUUAUAAUUGUGCACAUUUUUGAACUUUACAUAUUGUAAUGAUGCAUGCAUAUAUACACCAUCAUACCUUGGCUUUCUUUGUUUUAGAUAAGAUAGUUAAUUCAUUGUGUGUCCAAACGCCAGUAAACC